GACGAACGCUGGCGGCGUGCUUAACACAUGCAAGUCGAACGGGUCUGCCCUGUUUUUUGCGGGGUGGGUCAGUGGCGAACGGGUGAGUAACACGUGAGUAACCUGCCCCUCACUUCUGGAUAACCGCUUGAAAGGGUGGCUAAUACGGGGUGUUCUGGCUGUGCCGCAUGGUGUGGCUGGGAAAGAUUCACUUUUGUGGUGUUUUGGUGGGGGAUGGGCUCGCGGCCUAUCAGCUUGUUGGUGGGGUGAUGGCCUGCCAGGGCUUUGACGGGUAGCCGGCCUGGGAGGGUGGGCGGUCACGCUGGGACUGAGGUACGGCCCAGACUCCGGCGGGAGGCAGCAGUGGGGGGUAUUGCACAAUGGGCGGAAGACUGAUGCAGCGACGUCGCGUGAGGGAUGGAGGCCUUCGGGUUGUGAACCUCUUUCGCCGGUGAAGAAGGUCCUGCUCUUUGUGGUGGGGUUGACGGUAGCCGGGUUAUGAAGCGCCGGCUAACUACGUG
rnacentral:rRNA from 1 species